rnacentral:lncRNA from 10 species
UACUGUCAGAUACUCGAGUCUUCAAGGUGAGAACAAGAGUUUGAGUGGAGAGGACCUGGUGAAAUGGGAGCAAAAGACUUUGACAGGCCCUGGAGUGAUAGGGCAGCAGAAUAUCUACUCUGAACUAAGAGCAUAACAAAGGAGGUGGAAGAGGCGCCAGGAUAGCUCCCAUAUUUGGAGUGUUAUCAUUCAAGUACACACUGGCACCAGGGUCCCUGAGGCUUGCUCAUUGAGGUUGUCAACACUGCAA